rnacentral:misc_RNA from 1 species
AAAAAAAUGCCACCUGCCGAAUAAUUCAGCAGGAUUUCUCAAGUGGCACUUAUGAAUCAAUCAAAACCAGAGGAUUGCUGUCCUCCAUGUAUUCUGCCAUCAUUCUGAUCUAAGCAGAUGAUGCCAGCACUUUCUCAAUGAGAUCUGCAGCAUCUUGAACAGUGGCAAUAUUCUCAGCUCCCCCUUCUCCAAUUGACACCCCAAAUUGUUCUUCCAAAGCCAUCAUUAUCUCCACCUGUUACAUUUCAAUUUUAAUUAAUUUAUACACAUGAUUCAACUUCUGAUGUGAAAAUGUGUGCUAAAAAUUUUACUGCACGUUCUUGGAUGGUUUCUGU